rnacentral:rRNA from 1 species
UACGAAGGGUGCAAGCGUUACUCGGAAUUACUGGGCGUAAAGCGUGCGUAGGCGGUUUGUUAAGUCUGUCGUGAAGGCCCCGGGCUCAACCUGGGAAUGGCGAUGGAUACUGGCGAGCUAGAGUACGGUAGAGGAGAGUGGAAUUCCCGGUGUAGCAGUGAAAUGCGUAGAGAUCGGGAGGAACAUCAGUUGCGAAGGCGGCCUGCUGGGCUGUUGCUGACGCUGAGGCGCGAAAGCGUGGGUAGCAAACAGG